UUAUCAAUAAAAACUUAGACCAUUCAUGUCAUCAGCAACAAAAUGUCCAUUAUUGUUGAUAGUGUGUAUGAACAGUAGUCACCAAUUGAAAUGGAUCAAAAAUGUUUUUCACAAGACAGGAAUAGGUAUUAUUCAAUAGUUUUAGGACAACUUUGAUGAACGGUAAUGAUCCACUUUAUUUGUUGACUACUGUAUUUGGUGUCUCCUCACUAGCAGUGCUGGGGAAGAAUGACUGAAGAAAGAAAUUAAUUAUUUAGUGAAGGGGCAUGCCAGUGCACCAUUACUUUUAAGUACUGCAUGUCCAGGCUUUGGCGCUGCACUUCAAACAGGCCCAAGAACGUUCCGUACAGAAGGAAUUCAUCAUUUAAAUGACCACAGCGGGCUGAGAUGUUCACUGAACAAGAAUCUCAAAGGUUUUUCGUUACAUGGAGCAGUGACACACUUUGCGGUCGACUGAACUUCAGUCUUCAUUUGUUCACACACUGAUGUAACCACAUCUGUCAAAAUGUUGUGUUAAAGGAGCUUUCUGUUGUUAUCAAAGAUCCAGAUGCUAGCUUUAAUAAGUGUAGAUUUUCAUAAUCCCAUUCUUAAUGUGCAUUUGUGUUUAGAAGCACUGCAGAAAGCUCAAAUACAAGCCUGACGGAGGCCACAUGUGAAGGUUAACACAAGUUUAAGGUUUAUAGUCUAACAGUCUGGCCAAAACACGGAAAUGACAGACCACCAGCACAAAUAAAAAAAAAAAAAACAGUUCAUGGACGUUCUGACAACAGACAGACAGUGAAAUGAGGUCUGUUAAACAAACACUGCUGCUCUUUAAUGAGAGCCUGCAGACGACUGAGAAUACGUGCAAACAUUAACCAACAAAAUGUCCCUUAAUGUUAACAAACCAUUAACAGAAACGCUUCAGAGGAGGAAUGUGUGACGCACGAGUCUAGGAGAACGUUCUGACAUGAGUAAUAAACGAUUAAUCAUUAAUCUCUAGGGCAGGGUAAUCAAACAUUACAUAAACUGCCUGAGAUGCAACAUUAUGACAAAACAAAUAUUUGUGGAUGCUGAGUGUUCAAAGCAACAUUCAAUGUCUGUUGCAUAACUAAACAAUAAGCUGACAUUUGUAUGGACAGAUCAUUUCAAAAUAUCUUCCAUGUAUAAAUGUAAAUGUUGAAUUAAAAACAAAUCUGCGGAUUUAUGCAGAAUG